GCGGGCGUGGCGGAAUUGGUAGACGCAGCAGACUUAAAAUCUGUCGGCCGCAAGGUCAUGCCGGUUCAAGUCCGGCCGCCCGCACCA
rnacentral:tRNA from 1 species